rnacentral:lncRNA from 1 species
AAAUGUUACGCACACCAAGAAAAUCCCAUAUUUUCUUAAAAAGGUUUGUUAUUGUUUAUCAACAUGUAAAGUAAAGUUGUACACUGAAAACAUGUUAUCUCUUGUGUAAAUGUACAGUUAGGUUAUCUGGUUUGACAUNNNNNNNNNNNNNNNNNNNNNNNNNNNNNNNNNNNNNNNNNNNNNNNNNNNNNNNNNNNNNNNNNNNNNNNNNNNNNNNNNNNNNNNNNNNNNNNNNNNNUAUAUAUAUAUAUUGUUUAAGCUCAUAUUAGUUUUCGAUUAUACCUUAGGCAAUAUGUGGUCAUCUCGACCGCACCUAGUUGAUCAAUCUCUACACAAACAAUUAAUAAAAUUAUGAUAUUCAUUAUAUCAAGGGGCCUAUUCUAAUUUUCUUUUAUUAUUAUUAAUGUUAAACAAAAAUAUAUUAGAAAUGUGACAUCCUAUUUCAGAUCGUCUAUGAUCUAGGGUUUGUGGGUUGCAACCCGGGCAUGAGAAAGCCUUGAGGCUGCGACAAGUUACUAGAAGCGUAGGGCUUCUCGCCAUCUUUCCAUGGAUGUGAGGAUUCAUUGGAAACAGACUUAUAAUGAAGAAGUUAUGAUAGUUUGAAGUGUUGGCAAGUUUGGUCCCUUGUUUGAGAAAAUGUGGCAGUUGACUAAGCGGGGCGUACACGUGUGUACACUUAGCGUACUCAUGUGCAUGAUUUGGACGCAGAGGCCACCUAGUACGCUGGGCAUACUAGGCUUAGGGUGAAAACCCUAAUUGAGGGGUGUGCCCUUAUUUAAGGAACAUGAUGGCCUCAUUUCUGGCCACCAUUUCCAUCCCUCAACCUUCUCAAAACCCUAAUUUUCUCCAUGAGCUUGAGUGACCAUUUGUAAGCUUCUAAGUGUUCUUGUGGGAUCCUUUGAGUGAAGAAGGAGCAAUGAAGAGAAUAGAGUUGGAGUCUAGGCUUUGGAUCUAAGCUUUUCUGUGGUUGGAGCAUCAUUUGAAGGUAUAAAGCUCAGAGCUUUCUCAUCCUUUUUAAUUUGUGCAUAUUAUGGUCCAUUUUAGUGUUUUUGGUCCCAAAGCUUGAAGCUUUAUGAGUUGUUGAACUCCAGAACCUUAUAUCUGUCCCAUUAAGUGACUCAAGUGGAUUGGACUCAUAAAAAUAGGAUCUUGGACGUCAAAACCACCCCAUGCAUGAGAUAUGAGCAUUUUUGGGAGUAAAGAGUGAGAGUAUUUGGGUUUGGGACUUUAUCAGCCAUGCAAAGGCUUAAAGUCACGAACUUUAUGGAGUAUGAGCCUUUAGGGAGUCCGGAUAUGAGAAUAUAGCUAUGGUCUUAUCGGGUUAAGACCAAGAGAGUGGGGAAAGCAAAUAUGGGAUGUAAGCCGCGCGUAAUGUCACACCCCGAAAACUGAAGGCGGAAAUGUUUCCGGGGUUGAGUCCACGUUGAGUAUCAAAUCCAAUGCACAUAGUAAGUAAAGUAAAACAACCAUUACAUUACAUAAGAAAAGUUUUACAAUUGUUUCAAAAGUAAAGUUGUACAGUUGUGAUACAUAGUAUAUAUAUGAACAAAAUGAAACGGGUCUUCCGAGUACACCGUCUUCGGACAAAAAGGAUCUUCGGGUACCUGUACUAACGCUGACCUGAGAACACAAGCGGAUUGAAAAUCAGCAUAACGCUGGUGAGUUCAUAAGUAGUUUUUGUUUGUGAAAUGUUCAAGUUUCCUUUCUAUUUAUGAAAUGUUACGCACACCAAGAAAAUCCCAUAUUUUCUUAAAAAGGUUUGUUAUUGUUUAUCAACAUGUAAAGUAAAGUUGUCAUUGAAAACACGUUAUCUCUUGUGUAAAUGUACAGUUAGGUUAUCUGGUUUGACAUACUGUUCUAGUUAUGUACCAAUGUAUACCCAGGAAAGUCCCAUACUUUCCUGAUUGUGUAUUACCAAUUGUGAAAGAUGUAAAGUUAUCCGGUUUGUUACCCUUUUCUGAUUAUGUAAACGUUUCCCCAGGAAAGUCCCAUACUUUCCUGAAUGUUGGUUAUCAAU